CACCUGGACUCCAUUAUCUUCCUGAUUACCUCCCCUAUAUCUGUCACUCCCUUGGGUUCCUUCCUCAGUCAGUAUUGUUACUGUGUUCAUGUGUAAAUGCCACUGUUAUGUUGUCUCAUUUCAUGUUUGUUUUUUUAUUAAACGUUUCACCUGCACCUGCCUCUCGACUCACAGCGUCUCCGUUACAGAAUACUGACUCAAGCAAUGGAAGCAGCAGGAAAACCGAAUAUCUCUCAGACGGUCGACGAGCAGGGUUAUCUUCUGGGUCAACACCAUGACCAGCUUGCACAACUGGGGACGGCUAUGGAAGAGGUUCUUCGCAGUUUACAUCUUGUCAAACACACCAGGGAGGCAUUGCAGUCAACUAGCGGAGGAUACUCUACAACCAGUCAACCCAGCACAACAGCCCAUUCAGCAACCCACUCAAGUCAGCGAUGCCCGUUUGUCGCUCCCGGAAAAAUAUGACAGUACCUCAUUCAAAUACCAUGGCUUCCUACUUCAGUGCUCCCUCUACUUUACACAUCAGAUGGGAGCUCCUACCACUGAAAGGUCCAAGGUUGCCACGGUUAUUUCUCUGCUGAUUCGGAACCAUCACACACAUCACCCAACCACUCACCCUCACGGUGGAGUCCAUUCAUCAGGAGAACAUCCCCUUCUUCAACCUGUUCACAAGAUCAUCCUCGGCCUCAACGCCAUAACCCUACCAUCUCAUGGUCGAGGAUGAGAAUCACAGACUGGUCACCCGAAUGCCGGAGGACCUGCUUCCUUGUCCCCUGUGGUUACACGUCGGUUGAGAGUCCUGUAAUUGCCCUUCAACCCAACAUCCGGGAGGUAUUCUCCAAGACCCGCGUCACCCGUCUUCCUCCUCAUCACCCCUGGGACUGUGCCAUCGACCUCCGCACAGAUGCAUCUAUCCUCUACCGGUGGCUGAGACUCAGGCCAUGGAGGAUUACAUCCAAGAGGUGCUCCAACAAGGUUUCAUCCACACGUCCACUUCUCCUGCGUCGGCUGGUUUCUUCUUUGUGGCCAAGAAGGAUGGAGGGUUACGUCCAUGCAUUGACUACAAAUCAAAUAAAAUGUAUUUAUAAAGCCCUUCUUACAUCAGCUGAUAUCUCAAAGUGCUGUACAGAAACCCAGCCUAAAACCCCAAACAGCAAGCAAUGCAGGUGUAGAAGCACAGUGGCUAGGAAACACUCCCUAGAAAGGCCAGAACCUAGGAAGAAACCUAGAGAGGAACCAGGCUAUGAGGGGUGGCCAGUCCUCUUCUGGCUGUGCUGGGUGGAGAUUAUAACAGAACAUGGCCAAGAUGUUCAAAUGUUCAUAGAUGACCAGCAGGGUCAAAUAAUAAUAAUCACAGUGGUUGUCGAGGGUGCAACAGGUCAGCACCUCAGGAGUAAAUGUCAGUUGGCUUUUCAUAGCCGAUCACUCAGAGUAUCUCCACCGCUCCUGCUGUCUCUAGAGAGUUGAAAACAGCAGGUCUGGGACAGGUAGCACGUCCGGUGAACAGGUCAGGGUUCCAUAGACGCAGGCAGAACAGUUGAAACUGGAGCAGCAGCACAGCCAGGUGGACUGGGGACAGCAAGGAGUCAUCAGGCCAGGUAGUCCUGAGUUAUGGUCCUAGGGCUCAGGUCCUCUGAGAGAGAGAAAGAAAGAACUAGAGAGAGCAUACUUAAAUUCACACAGGACACCAGAUAAGACAGGAGAAAUACUCCAGAUAUAACAGACUGACCUUAGCCCCCCAACACAUAAACUACUGCAGCAUAAAUACUGGAGGCUGAGACAGGAGGGGUCGGGAGACACUGUGGCCCCGUCCGAUGAUACCCCCGGAUAGGGCCAAACAGGCAGGAUAUAACCCCACCCACUUUGCCAAAGCACAGCCCCCACUACAGAGGAGAUUACCACGAAGUACCAUUACCCUCUCCCGUUGGUGCCGGCAGCCAUUGAACAGCUCGGCGGGGUCCAGAACUGGACCUGUGGAGUGCUUGCAAUCUCAUCCGCAUCCGGGAGGGGGAUGAGUCGAAGACUGCGUUUAGCACAAUGUCUGGUCACUACGAGUACUUGGCGAUGCCAUUUGGCUUAGCCAAUGCUCCAUCAGUGCUCUCUCCAAACGUGCGCACACACACACACACACACACACACACACACACACACACACACGUGAAAGUGUUAUUGGUUGUGAUUUCCUGAUUUUCAUCAUGUGAUAAUUUAGGGGUUUUUCACUUUUUUUUUUAAACACCACUCCUGAAUAAGAAACAAUGUAAUUAACAAUUAGUGCAUUCGUUAACGAGGUGUUCAGGGACAUGCUCGGACACCAGGUGGUCGUGUAUAUCGAUGACAUCUUGAUCUUGAUGAUGGCUUUCACUUCAGCAGUAAUAAAUUCAUGAACUUCUUUGAGGAAAAGAUCAUGAUCAUUAGAAAGCAAAUUAUGGACUCCUCUUUAAAUCCGCAUAUUCCUCCAAAGCUCAGUUGUCCUGAGUCUGCACAACUCUGCCAGGACCUAGGAUCAAGGGAGACACAGUGUUUUAGUACUAUAUCUCUUGACACAAUGAUGAAAAUAAUCAUGGCCUCUAAACCUUCAAGCUGCAUACUGGACCCUAUUCCAGCUAAACUCUGAAAGAGCUGCUUCCUGUGCUUGGCCCUCCUAUGUUGAACAUAAUAAACGGCUCUCUAUCCACCGGAUGUGUACCAAACUCACUAAAAGUGACAGUAAAAAAGCCUCUCUUGAAAAAGCCAAACCUUGAGACAGAAAAUAUAAAGAACUAUCGGCCUAUAUCGAAUCUCCCAUUCCUCUCAAAAAUGUUAGAAAAAACUGUUGCACAGCAACUCACUGCCUUCCUGAAGACAAACAAUGUAUACGAAACGCUUCAGUCUGGUUUUAGACCCCAUCAUAGCACUGAGACUGCACUUGUGAAGGUGGUAAAUAACCUUUUAAUGGCGUCAGACCGAGGCUCUGCAUCUGUCCUCGUGCUCCUAGACCUUAGUGCUGCUUUUGAUACCAUCGAUCACCACAUUCUUUUGGAGAGAUUGGAAACCCAAAUUGGUCUACACCGACAAGUUCUGGCCUGGUUUAGAUCUUAUCUGUCGGAAAGAUAUCAUUUUGUCUCUGUGAAUGAUUUGUCCUCUGACAAAUCAACUGUAAAUUUCGGUGUUCCUCAAGGUUCCAUUUUAGGACCACAAUUGUUUUCACUAUAUAUUUUACCUCUUGGGGAUGUCAUUUGAAAACAUAAUGUUAACUUUCACUGCUAUGCGGAUGACACACAGUUGUACAUUUCAAUGAAACAUGGUGAAGCCCCAAAAUUACCCUCGCUGGAAGCCUGUGUUUCAGACAUAAGGAAGUGGAUGGCUGAAAACUUUCUACUUUUAAACUCUGACAAAACAGAGAUGCAUGUUCUAGGUCCCAAGAAACAAAGAGAUCUUCUGUUGAAUCUGACAAUUAAUCUUGAUGGUUGUACAGUCGUCUCAAAUAAAACUGUGAAGGACCUCGGCGUUACUCUGGACCCUGAUCUCUCUUUUGACGAACAUAUCAAGACUGUUUCAAGGACAGCUUUUUUCCCAUCUACGUAACAUUGCAAAAAUCUUAAAUGUUCUGUCCAAAAUUGAUGCAGAAAAAUUAAUCCAUGCUUUUGUUACUUCUAGGUUAGACUACUGCAAUGCUCUACUUUCCGGCUACCCGGAUAAAGCACUAAUAAACUUCAGUUAGUGCUAAAUACGGCUGCUAUAAUCCUGACUAGAACCAAAAUAUUUGAUCAUAUUACUCCAGUGCUAUCCUCCCUACACUGGCUUCCUGUUAAGGCAAGGGCAGAUUUCAAGGUUUUACUGCUAACCUACAAAGCAUUACAUGGGCUUGCUCCAACCUAUCUUUCCAAUUUGGUCCUGUCGUACAUACCAACACGUACGCUACGGUCACAAUAUGCAGGCCUCCUAAUUGUCCCUAGAAUUUCUAAGCAAACAGCUGGAGGCAGGGCUUUCUCCUAUAGAGCUCAAUUUUUAUGGAAUGGUCUGCCUACCCAUGUGAGAGACGUAGACUCGGUGUCAACCUUUAAGUCUUUAUUGAAGACUCAUCUCUUCAGUAGGUUCUAUGAUUGAGUGUAGUCUGGCCCAGGAGUGUGAAGGUGAACGGAAAGGCACUGGAGCCUUUCCGCCCUUGCUGUCUCUGCCUAGCUGGUUCCCCUCUCUCCACUGGGAUUCUCUGCCUCUAACCCUAUUACAGGGGCUGAGUCACUGGCUUAUUGGUGCUCUUCCAUGCCGUCCCUAGGAGGGGUGCGUCACUUGAGUGGGUUGAGUCACUGAUGUGGUCUUCCUGUCUGGAUUGGCGCCCCCCUUGGGUUGUGCCGUGGUGGAGAUCUUUGUGGGCUAUACUCGGCCUUGUCUCAGGAUGAUUGGUGGUUGAAGAUAUCCCUCUAGGUGGUGUGGGGGCUGUGCUUUGGCAAAGUGGGUGGGGUUAUAUCCUGCCUGUUUGGCCCUGUCCGGGGGUAUCAUCGGAUGGGGCCACAGUGUCUCCAAAACCUCCUGUCUCAGCCUCCAGUAUUUAUGCUGCAGUAGUUUAUGUGUCGGGGGGCUAGGGUCAGUCUGUUAUAUCUGGAGUAUUUCUCCUGUCUUAGCCGGUGUCCUGUGUGAAUUUAAGUAUGCUCUCUCUAAUUCUCUCUUUCUUUUUUCUUUCUUUCUUUCUUUCUUUCUUUCUUUCUUUCUUUCUUUCUUUCUUUCUUUCUUUCUUUCUUUCUUUCUUUCUUUCUUUCUUUCUUUCUUUCUUUAUUUCUUUCUUUAUUUCUUUCCUUCUCUCUCUCGGAGGACCUGAGCCCUAGGACCAUGCCUCAGGACUACAUGGCAUGAUGACUCCUUGUUGUCCCCAGUCCACCUGGCCGUGCUGCUGCUCCAGUUUCAACUGUUCUGCCUGCAGCUAUGGAACCCUGACCUUUUCACUAUGAUUCCUAUUAUUUGACCAUGCUGGUCAUCUAUGAACAUUUGAACAGCUUGGCCAUGUUCUGUUAUAAUCUCCACCCAGCACAGCCAGAAGAGGACUGGCCACCUCUCAUAGCCUGGUUCCUCUCUAGGUUUCUUCCUAGGUUCUGGCCUUUCUAGGGAGUUUUUCCUAGCCGCCGUGCUUCUACACCUGCAUUGCUUGCUGUUUGGGGUUUUAGGCUGGGUUUCUGUACAGCACUUUGAUAUAUCAGCUGAUGUAAGAAGGGCUAUAUAAAUACAUUUGACUUGAUUCGAUCUACUCGGCUACCCUGGAGGAUCACAUCACUCACCUUCAAGCAGUCUUGGAACGACCUCCUGGCUAACCACCUGUUCAUCAAGGCUGAGAAGUGCCAAUUGCAUCAGAGGGCUGUCUCCUUAGGCUACCAAAUCAGCCCGCAGGGAGUGAGGAUUGACGACAAGAAGGUAGAUGCGGUCAGGUCCCAACCACCAUAGAAGGGUUAGAAAGGUUUUUGGGGUUUGCCAACUUCUACCACCGUUUCAUCAGGAACUUCAGCUCAGUCACCGCUCCUCUAACUUUUCUCAUUAACCUCUUACAUCUAGACGUUCCGCUAGCGGAACACCUGCUCCAAUAUCCAAUGAUAGGCGUGGCGCGAAUUACAAAUUCCUCAAAAAUACAAAAACUUCAAUUUUUCAAACAUAUGACUAUUUCACAGCAUUUUAAAGACAAGACUCUCCUUUAUCUAACCACACUGUCCGAUUUCAAAAAGGCUUUACAGCGAAAGCAAAACAUUAGAUUAUGUCAGCAGAGUACCCAGCCAGAAAUAAUC
rnacentral:lncRNA from 1 species